GACAGAGGGUGCAAACGUUGUUCGGAAUUACUGGGCGUAAAGCGCGUGUAGGCUGCUUCGAAAGUCGGAUGUGAAAGCCCUGGGCUCAACCUAGGAAGUGCAUUCGAAACUUCGAAGCUGGAGUCCUGGAGAGGAAGGCGGAAUUCUCGGUGUAGAGGUGAAAUUCGUAGAUAUCGAGAGGAACACCGGUGGCGAAGGCGACCUUCUGGACAGUGACUGACACUGAGACGCGAAA
rnacentral:rRNA from 1 species